AAACUUAAAUGAAUUGACGGGGACCCGCACAAGCGGUGGAUGAUGUGGAUUAAUUCGAUGCAACGCGAAAAACCUUACCUACCCUUGACAUGCCUGGAACCCUGGAGAGAUCUAGGGGUGCCCGAAAGGGAGCCGGGACACAGGUGCUGCAUGGCUGUCGUCAGCUCGUGUCGUGAGAUGUUGGGUUAAGUCCCGCAACGAGCGCAACCCUUGUCACUAGUUGCUACGCGAGGGCACUCUAGUGAGACUGCCGGUGACAAACCGGAGGAAGGUGGGGAUGACGUCAAGUCCUCAUGGCCCUUAUGGGUAGGGCUUCACACGUCAUACAAUGGUCGGUACAGAGGGUUGCCAAGCCGCGAGGUGGAGCCAAUCCCAGAAAGCCGAUCGUAGUCCGGAUUGCAGUCUGCAACUCGACUGCAUGAAGUCGGAAUCGCUAGUAAUCGCGGAUCAGCAUGUCGCGGUGAAUACGUUCCCGGGUCUUGUACACACCGCCCGUCACACCAUGGGAGUGGGGUUCACCAGAAGUAGGUAGCCUAACCGCGAGGGGGGCGCUUACCACGGUGAGCUUCAUGACUGGGGUGAAGUCGUAACAAGGUAGCCGUAUCGGAAGGUGCGGCUGGAUCACCUCCUUUAUG
rnacentral:rRNA from 1 species